rnacentral:rRNA from 1 species
UGUCAAGAAAAGUCUCUAUCGAGGUUAAAGGUACCCGUACCGCAAACCGACACAGGUGGGUGAGGAGAGUAUCCUAAGGCCAGCGAGAGAACUGUUGUUAAGGAACUCGGCAAAAUGCCCCCGUAACUUAGGGAUAAGGGGUGCCACCAUCAGGUGGCCGCAGAGAAUAGGCCCAAGCGACUGUUUACCAAAAACAUAGGUUUCUGCUAAG